UGCAGCCUGUGGCUCCGAUGUCUGUGAUAACAGACAUGUUUUAUGAACUCAAGCAACUUCCGGCCCCAAGGGGACUUGGCGUGGGUGUGUGCGCCACAAUGGUACAGUAACGAGGAUACAUAGUUAAAUCUCACAGCGUGACUGAAGGCCUUUGCUGCGUCUGACGUCAUCAUGGCAGCGCGCGUAAGGAAUGGAGAAAAUCAACCCUGGUGCAGAGCAAUCGAGUCCACAAGGUCCGACGGCGCAAGCGGACACGGGUACCACUGUGCGGGAUCCACGGGGCUCUCCUCACGCAGCUGUAAAGGCGUGCUGUUGGUGACUCGCUGUCAGACACAGGAAAGGGGCGCUGCAAAAGAGGGCUCUUAUCAUCAUGAAGGCUGAUUCAGCCACUGCCACUAGGCAGGAAGGGGGUUCUCUGACUAGGAAUGCUAGCCCUAAUUUACUGUCUUGAAACACACAGAUUGUACUGGCUACAGCACGAUACUGUCCUUGGGGCGCCAGGCUUACACAGGACUUCCUUGCUAGACUCUCGGCUGUCAACACUCAUUUCAUCUUCUUUUGCUUGCUGCCUGUGUGGACUUUGCACGGUUUCAGAAUCGUACCAGGCUUACUGCUUUCCCGUGAUACUUCUAGCGUUAGGUCUUGUUUUGUGUUCCUGUCAAACAUUCUGAAAUUAUUGUUAAGACCCAGUCACAACACCGUCAGAUCCAUUCCAACAACACUGAAUUUGUCAGACACAUGGUCCUUUUCACACAGUGCACAGCUUACUUCCAAGCUACUGGUGCACCUGUUACAUUUCCACAGGCAUUUUCCAUAAUUUUUUUUUUUUUUUUUUUUUUUUGAGAUGGAGUCUCACCCUGUGGCCCAGGCUGGCUUGCAGUGGCGCGAUCUCCGCUCACCGCAACCUCCACUCCCCAGGUUCAAAUGAUUCUCUAGCCUAAGGCUCCCAAGUAGCUGGGAUUACAGGUGUGUGCUACUGAGCCUGGCUAAUUUUUGUUAUUUUCAGUAGAGAUGGGGUUUCUCCUUGUUAGCCAGGCUGGUCUCAAACGCCUGACCUCAGGUGAUCUGCCUGCCUCGGCUUUGCAAAGUGCUGGGAUUACAGGCGUGAGCCACCGCACCCGGCCGCGUUUUCCAUAUUGAAGUUCCAACUUUUGACUAACAAAUGGUCUCUAUCAUCAUAUUUGACCACUAUGGCUGAAUUUUACGUCAGAAAUUAGGAGAUGAUUUCAGACAAAAAUGACCCGUUACUGGAAUCAUCAGGUUCUUCAGUGUAGAUGCCUAUCACAGAGGGCAGAUGCUCUCAUGUCACAUGAGCAAAUAGUUCCUUUACUGCUGCUAGAUACAGAUGUGUUACAGCUGUUCAGAUGGAAUUCUGCGGCUGAAAUCACCUGUUAGCUCUUCCAUAUUGUCAGGCUUGAUAUCCACAAUAUUAAAACUCCUGUCUAUAAUUUCCAGAUGCCAAAGACUUGAUUUUAAUCUGCAAAUCACCUGCAGAUAAAUAUGUUUCAAAAUCUCUAUUAACAGGAAUUGAGUUGGUGUGACCAGUAUGAGCACUGGCAGAUGCUCUUUGUGGAGUGACCGCAACCCCUAGACCCACGAGCCUAACGACAGGCACUCACAGUGCAGUAGCCGUGGUGGCAUCUCUACACACCCCAUCUUCCUCUUCAAGUUAUAUCCUUCUGGUCUUUUGUCCCUUUCACUGAUUUUCCAUAAUUGUAUUGUUUUAUUAUUGGUAGACAAUACCGAGCAGAAUUUUUCUCGGGGAAACCACCUAGCUUUGUUGAACUUUUCUUCCGUUUCUAAACUUUUCAAGUGGUCAAACUCUGGCUCAUGGUUCUGAAAGGUCCUGUAAACAUGGUAUUCCCUUCUGCUUAAGAUGAGAUUUUGUUCAUCUGCUCCUGUUGAAGGAUUAUGACUCUGCCACCUGUAUCUCCAGUUCCUACUAAUUCUCCAGAAUGAAUAAGUUCUACUGGGGAAGAAAAAAGCUAAUGAAAUAGUUAUGGUCAAUAGUUAUAGAAAAAUUAAUGAAAUUCCACACCACUCGUGACAUCAUCUGCUACAUCGUCAUCUAUUGCUCCUUUCACCUGAGAAACCUCUACUGAGUGUCAUCCCUCCUCCAGCUCCUGCCAUAGGGAAACAAAAAUACACAUAUGGCCCCAUUA